rnacentral:misc_RNA from 1 species
AGAAGUAAAAGUCGUAACAAGGUUUCCGUAGGUGAACCUGCGGAAGGAUCAUUAUCGUACAAAAUGUGAGGGGCAUGCGAGGGCUGUCGCUGACCCAAAAGUCGUGUACGCCCGAGUGUGUCCUCUUGCAUAAUAAUCCAUCUCACCCUUUGUGCAUCACCGCGUGGGCACCCUUCGGGAUCAUCUCGGAGGGGGGCUCGCGUUUUCACACAAACCCCCCUUUUAAAAGUGUAGAAUGACCACAUUUAUGCAAUCAAUACAACUUUCAACAACGGAUCUCUUGGCUCUC